CGCGUAGGCGGCGUGACAAGUCACUUGUGAAAUCUCCGGGCUUAACUCGGAACGGCCAAGUGAAACUGUCAUGCUGGAGUGCAGAAGGGGGCAAUCGGAAUUCUUGGUGUAGCGGUGAAAUGCGUAGAUAUCAAGAGGAACACCUGAGGUGAAGACGGGUUGCUGGGCUGACACUGACGCUGAGGCGCGAAAGCCAGGGGAGCAAACG
rnacentral:rRNA from 1 species